UGACAUGAGAACAAGGGAACAGGCUUGCAAAACCAAUGUAGGACUGACUUGGUUGGACAUUUUUAUACUGUGGCAUUCUGAAGGAUUCAGCCCAGUCUGUGUGGCAACAUCAUGGUUGACCUGGCACCAAUCUGGAGCAUAAUGCUCUGGACCAUCUCUGGAUUAAGUGGACCUGGAUUAGAUGAACCAGUGGAAGACGCCUCCAUUUCCACCUGCAAAUCAGCCAUAUGAUCACCUUUCAACAGUCAGGACCACCACUGCCAAGAAGUCAAAACAUCUCCACAGAAUCCAGGACUGGUUGAAAACAGCAAUGCUUCAGACUGCCUCCAGAUUUAGGUGCCUAUGUAGAUGGACCCCAAAUAUCAUUCCAUAACUUUGCUCUUUAUAAAAAAAAUCAAGACUG